AUUGAACGCUGGCGGCAUGCUUUACACAUGCAAGUCGAACGGCAGCGCGGGCUUCGGCCUGGCGGCGAGUGGCGAACGGGUGAGUAAUGCAUCGGAACGUGCCCAGUAGUGGGGGAUAGCCCGGCGAAAGCCGGAUUAAUACCGCAUACGACCUGAGGGUGAAAGCGGGGGACCGAAAGGCCUCGCGCUAUUGGAGCGGCCGAUGUCGGAUUAGCUAGUUGGUGGGGUAAAGGCUUACCAAGGCGACGAUCCGUAGCUGGUCUGAGAGGACGACCAGCCACACUGGGACUGAGACACGGCCCAGACUCCUACGGGAGGCAGCAGUGGGGAAUUUUGGACAAUGGGGGCAACCCUGAUCCAGCCAUGCCGCGUGCGGGAAGAAGGCCUUCGGGUCGUAAACCGCUUUUGUUCGGGAAGAAAUCCUCUGGGCUAAUACCCCGGGGGGAUGACGGUACCGGAAGAAUAAGCACCGGCUAACUACGUG
rnacentral:rRNA from 1 species